CUACGGGACGCUCCAGUGAGGAAUAUUGCACCAUUUGGUGCACCCUGCUGCAGCAACGCCUCGUGGAGGAUGACGCAUUUCGGUGUGUAAACUCCUUUUAUAUGUCAAGAAAAUGACGGUAGCAUAUGAAUAAGCACCGGCUAACUCCGUGCCAGCAGCCGCGGUAAUACGGAGGGUGCAAGCGUUACUCGGAAUCACUGGGCGUAAAGGACGCGUAGGCGGGUUGGAAAGUCAGGUGUGAAAUCCUACAGCUUAACUGUAGAACUGCACUUGAAACUUCUAAUCUAGAGUAUGGGAGGGGGAGAUGGAAUUAGUGGUGUAGGGGUAAAAUCCGUAGAUAUCACUAGGAAUACCUAAAGCGAAGGCGAUCUCCUGGAACAUUACUGACGCUAAGGCGUGAAAGCGUGGGGAGCAAACAGGAUUAGAUACCCCCGUAGUC
rnacentral:rRNA from 1 species